GCCCGGAUGGUCUAGAGGUAUGAUUCUCUCUUAGGGUCUUUAAUGAUCGUUUGGGAGAGGUCCUGGGUUCAAUUCCCAGUUCGGGCC